AUGCCCCGCUAUGGUGACGCAGAGUCAGUUAUGUGGUUCGAUGUUGAACCAUUCUGCAUGUUCCAUCUUAUCAACUGCUUCGAAGAAGGUGAUGAGGUUGUUGUUCAAGGCCUCCGUUCGGCAGACUCCGUCAUACCAGGAUCCGAGCUUAAAAAAGAUGGCAAGGCCAUGAAACAAGGAAUUAAUGAGAAAUUAUUCUCUCGCUUGUUUGAAUGGAGAUUAAACCUGAGAACGAAGACUGUUUCAGGGGAAUAUUUGACUGGCACCGAGUGCUCCUUGGAAUUCCCAAUGAUCAAUAACCACUACACAGGCGUGCGUCAUAGUUAUGGCUACGCACAAAUAGUGGAUUCUUUAACAAGAUCUGCUGGCAGUAGUGAAAAAGUACUCCCAAAGUAUGGGGGCUUUGCAAAACUAUGCCUUGAGGAGAGAGAGAAUACAGAGGUAUGUAUAAAUCAGCUUCAAGAUCUAAUAAAGAUGGAAAUUCAUCGGCUUAGUGAAGAUGAGUUCUGCUCUGGAGCAUCAUUUGUUCAAAGAGUUGGUGGCUCACAUGAAGAUGAUGGAUGGAUAAUUUCUUUUGUACAUAAUGAAAGAACAAAUACGUCACAGGUGCACAUUAUUGAUACCCAAAAAUUUGAAGGAGCUCCUGUUGCAAAAAUAACAUUGCCACAAAGAGUGCCCUAUGGCUUUCAUGGAACUUUUGUCCAUAACAACAUACAUGGGCACGUGAAUACCAGAUCAGAAAAAAAACUGGACAGCUUAAAGUUCAUAUAUUGA
rnacentral:rRNA from 1 species